ACUUUUGGGGCCCCUCAAUGUCCUACAAAAUUCAUAACUGAUGAUGACUAUGAGCCAUAUCCUCCAAUCAACAGACUAUUAGAUUCAAAUAUCCAGCAAAUAUAACCUAUGCAUUUGAUGGUCACCAAUAGCAUGUCAGAGUAAACAGAUGAGCGAACAGCCCAUAAAGCCAUUGACCCCAGAAUAUAACAUUUUUAUUUUUAGAUCAGUAUGACCUGUUUUGCAGGGUAUAAGCAUAAUAUGAAGCGCCCCCCUCUUCUCUUUCCCUUUAUGAGGUGAGACGUAAAGGUGAAGGUAAUUAUACAUAAUACUUCUAAUAAAAACUUCAAAUUUUAUAAAAGUAGAAAGAAAAGGAAAAUAACAAACUAAAAGGCCAACUUUACUAAAAAAAACAUUAAGGAAUUCACCAAAACAAACAAGUACAAAAGCUUACGAAGAAUAAAGUAAAAAAAUGAAACUUAAAACAAGUUAUUAAGACAAAUAAAAUUGCUUUCUUUUUUGUUUUGGAGGGGGGGUGGCGAGGGUGGUCAAUUGCUUUCAUUUUGGAAAACAAUCAUUGUAAAACAAUCAUUAUUGUAUAAUGUGGAUAGGCUGAAAAAAUAAUGACAAAUUUAUAUGUGAUUAGAUUUUAAAGCAUAUAUUCUGCCACAAAGGGGCAUGCUUUAUAUUUGGCACAUACAUCUCAUAGUGGCCUGCCUUCUUCAAAGCACCUAUAU
rnacentral:misc_RNA from 1 species